AAACCCAAUUGUACAGGAUCUGUUCUAUAGGCUCGUACCACUGAAUCCUUGAUUUCUAAGGAGACAGGUUUCCAAGUCUGGUUGAUGAAGCAUGGCCAUAAAAAAAAGAGU
rnacentral:snoRNA from 1 species